rnacentral:lncRNA from 1 species
UACAACUGUCAAUGCAUUGCAGUCAGUGCAGAAGGCUGUAUAACAGUCACUAAACAUAGUAAACAUGCUGCCAGAACGGAGACUAUGGAGAAGAAAGUUACACAGCGGCGACGAGAUACCUAAUUUUUGAUGCUAUAUUAACAUGAAUGUGUGUGAUAGCUCAGCGGUAAGGUGUUGGGCGCAUAACAUCAAGAUCAUUGGAUCAAUACUCUUUGAAACACAAAAUUUAUUUAGUUUUUUCCUUUUUAUGCGUAUAUUUUGUUAAAUUUUUAAGUCGCUUAGUAUGUCUUAAACUUAAACUAUCCUAAGUAAUAUUUAUAUGGUUACAUUCCCUGAAAUUGCUUUUACGUUGUCUAUUUUUGAGGAAAAAUCUUCAUCUAAUUCACGAUUGCAUUCUCAUUUUUUUUUACAUAAGUCCCCGUGUUGCUAAUUCCGGACAGUAUACUGCUGCAGAUGAUGUAAAAUUACACUGCUAUUCAUACUAACAGCAUUAUGUCAAUAACAGCGUAGUGGUAAGGUGUUGCGCUGGCAUCAUUAAGUUGAACUGUUCAAUACUCAUGCGGAAAUAAAACAAUUUUUCUUCAAA